GCCGAAGUGGUGGAACUGGUAGACGCACCGGACUCAAAAUCCGGCGGGGGCAACUCCGUGAGGGUUCGAUUCCCUCCUCCGGCA
rnacentral:tRNA from 1 species